rnacentral:lncRNA from 1 species
AUCAAAAGAAGGGCGCCCAGCACCACGCCCGCCGCGCACACACAUGGCGUUCAGUAAGUGGUUCUCUCCCCUGCACCGCGUCUAGACCUCGUUUCUCCACAGAGAGUGGGUGGCAGGAAUUUUCCAAAUCGGCUCGAUGUCCCCACUCCAUCGCUUCAUGCACUGGCCCAGGACACACCCAUAGUUUGGCGAAGUGCAGACUUGGAGAAACUUGGGGGAGAACGGAACCCAAGGCCCAGCCCCGCGCACGCGCGCCGCAGCCUUCGCCCAGAGCAGCGUCUGCUAGUUACCUUUCACCUACUUCGCUGCGACUCGCCGCGCGGGGUAACUCGAGAUGGCUACGUUGAAGACAGCUGGGGCUGCCGCACGCCUCGGGGUUACUGUCGGGCACCCGGCGGGCGGGGCCGGCGCUGGGGCGGGGGAGGGCUUCCUCGCCCUCAGAAACCACAUUCGCAGAAACGUUUUUAACUGGCAAGGUUUCGAGUUCCCAACCACAGCACCCUCAGUGAUGGUUUUCAGAAGACCUUGUUAGCUCCUCUCCUCCAGAGACCCAUCCUUCGCUGACAUCCCACCGAUUUGGGAGCAGGAAAAAACAGACUCCUGCAAAAUACCUCUUCUUCCAGUGCCCUGUACCCCUCUCUACUUACUUCGAGUCCCUGCAGUCCAGCAACAACCCCAAACGAGUGAAGGGAGGAGACAUAGGUUUGUCCAGGCUCUGCCACCGACGGGUGAUUUGGGAUGAGUCCUUCUCCAGUAUCAUUAUCUUCAACUGUAAAACAUGAGGGUUAGUCCGAAUGAUCUCCAAACGCUUCAGCAUUAAAGUUAGGUGAUGAAUCCUAAGAUUUUGCAGUUCUAUAAUGUCACAUCUCCUCCGUUUCAGAGAGGGCCCGCAGGGAAUCUUGUUAAGGAUAACUGCCAUCGAAGUUACAAGUUUGUUCUGUGAUUGAAGAGUUUCAGGUCUUCUAGAUUUCUUUGGCAUGACGCAUAACUAUUUCAAGAUACUAACAUUUGGGCAGGGCGUGGUGGCUCAGGCCUGUAGUCCUAACACUUUGGGGGGCCGAGGCGGGCAGAUCACCUGAGGGUAGGAGUUAGAGACCAGUCUGGCCAACAUGGUGAAACCCCGUCUCUACUAAAAAUACAAAAAUUAGCCGGGCGUGGCGGUACAUGCCUGUAAUCCCAGCUACUCAGGAGGCUAAGGCAGAAGAAUCGCUUGAAUCCAGGAGGCGGAGGUUGCAGUGAGCUGAGAUCACGCCACUGCACCCCAGCCUGGGCAACAGAGGGAGACUCCUUCUGAAAAAAAAAAAAAAAAAAAGAUACUAACAUUUAAGGUUAAGAAUGUAGGUCAUUUCCCCAGAGGACUAACAGACUCGAGGGCACACACCCCAAAUUUUAUUUCUUUGACUCUGUCAUUGCCCCCAGAACAGUAUAUAAUGUAGCCAAUUGUUGUGGAUUUAUUGUUAAUGAAUAAAAUAAAAUUUGUGACUAGCAGGGAUAGGGGUCCUAUGCUGUCAUUUUAAUAUGAAUAGAGUUUUUAAAAACUCACAGAUAAAUGUAUCACAUGAGAAAAAAAUACAAAGGCUGAACAUAGAGCAGCAAUGUUAAUCUGAUAAAUCGUAAAUAAGUGUAUACAUUUUAAUAGAGAUUAGUACAAAGACCUGUAAU